GAUGAACGCUGACAGAAUGCUUAACACAUGCAAGUCUACUUGAACUUCGGUUUGGCUGGCGGACGGGUGAGUAACGCGUACAGAACUUGCCUCACAGUUAGGGACAACAUUUGGAAACGAAUGCUAAUACCUGAUAUUAUGAUUUUAGGGCAUCCUAAAAUUAUGAAAGCUAUAUGCGCUGUGAGAGAGCUUUGCGUCCCAUUAGCUAGUUGGAGAGGUAACGGCUCACCAAGGCGAUGAUGGGUAGCCGGCCUGAGAGGGUGAACGGCCACAAGGGGACUGAGACACGGCCCUUACUCCUACGGGAGGCAGCAGUGGGGAAUAUUGGACAAUGGACCAAAAGUCUGAUCCAGCAAUUCUGUGUGAACGAUGACGUUUUUCGGAAUGUAAAGUGCUUUCAGUUGGGAAGAAAAAAAUGACGGUACCAACAGAAGAAGUGACGGCUAAAUACGUG
rnacentral:rRNA from 1 species